rnacentral:rRNA from 1 species
AGGAUGAACGCUGGCGGCGUGCUUAACACAUGCAAGUCGAGCGGAAAGGCCCUUCGGGGUACUCGAGCGGCGAACGGGUGAGUAACACGUGAGCAACCUGCCCUUAGCUUCGGGAUAGCUCCGGGAAACCGGAAUUAAUACCGAAUAUGACUUUGGCUGACAUCAGCAGAAGUGGAAAGUUUUUCGGCUAGGGAUGGACUCGCGGCCUAUCAGCUAGUUGGUGAGGUAACGGCCCACCAAGGCGACGACGGGUA